rnacentral:lncRNA from 1 species
AGCAAGGAUGGUUCCCAGGGAAAGAGGCCUUGGUUAUGAUGUGGCUUUCCAACAGUAUUUUAAUACUUUUCUCAACCUGAAGAAGUUCAAGCCUAGCUUUGCUCCCUUUGUGGAUAGACCACUUGGUCCUCCUUGGUUUACUCACAGAUUUCCUUCUCCACCAGAAUUUGAGAUGGUAACCACCAGCAUUUGGAAUGCUUAUUUGAUGCCUACAGUCUUGUCUUGUCGAAUUGG